rnacentral:rRNA from 1 species
GACAGAGGGUGCUAGCGUUAUCCGGAAUGAUUGGGCGUAAAGCGUCCGCAGGUGGCUGUGUAAGUCUGCUGUUAAAUAGUGAGGCUCAACCUCAUAAAGGCAGUGGAAACUACACGGCUAGAGUGCGUUUGGGGCAGAGGGAAUUCCUGGUGUAGCGGUGAAAUGCGUAGAGAUCAGGAAGAACACCGGUGGCGAAAGCGCUCUGCUAGGCCGCAACUGACACUGAGGGACGAAAGCUAGGGGAGCGAAUGGG